UACGUAGGGGGCGAGCGUUAUCCGGAAUUACUGGGCGUAAAGCGCACGCAGGCGGUUCGCCAAGUUUGGAGUGACAGUUGUCGGCUCAACCGACAAAGGACUUCAAAAACUGGUGAACUUGAGGACGAGAGAGGAACAUGGAACUCCAGGUGUAGUAGUGAAAUGCGUAGAUAUCUGGAGGAACACCGGAUGGCGAAGGCGGC
rnacentral:rRNA from 1 species